CUCAGACAAUCUCGGGACGCCGAGAGAGAAGGCAGCUUGGCUUGGGAGCCAUUCUGAAGCCCUGGGUCGGAAGAAAGGAAGGAAGGAAGGAAGGAAGAAAGAAAGAAAGGGCAGCCGCGGCUAGAAGGCCCGAAGAGACAGGCUCCGUUUCUGAAGCAGAAAUGGCAAAGCCUUGUGAAACGGACGGAAGAAAUAAAGGCAAAAUUUUUGAAAAUUUCCACAGCUUUUUCUGAAGGGACCAGCGCUGAUUUCAAGUCAACGUGAAGAAAGAAACAAAAGGUCGAGAGACAGGACGGAAGAUGCUUGAAGACACCCUCGCAAGGACACUGCCUGCCUCCCAAAAAAGGUCGUUUUCAGGGUAAUUGGUGUAAGGGUAGGCAUUUAAUGUCUAUCUUUGCAUUAAAGAAAGGGUUACCUUUGCACACGGUUCCCCUCGCGUGUGGCAUCGAAGAAGUCCCACUCGGGAACGGACGGGUCCUCCCUUUGUUCUAGGCAGAUGAUGGGUCUUCCUAUACGGGCCGUAGGGGUCACAGCUUGGGGGUCAGCGGGGGGCCCCGCCCUGGCAUCGCGGGGGGCAGCACACGUUACGGGCAUUUUAAGAUGUCCUUGCAACUUAGAAAUAAAAAUAUUAAUACCUUAACUCACUUACUAACAUCCUACUAACACCAUUCUAAACAGGGUACCCUGGCCUUUUAAAUAGGACUGUUCUGCCUGAUGGCAAGAACCAAGCUGGGAAGGGAGGGGGCCUCCUGGCCCCCCAUAAAAGGGCCCCCAUGGAAGGACAUUGCAAAAGGCCCCUAAGGUGUCCUGAGAGCAGCCUCUUGGUCCUCAGUGUUCCCCACGGUGCCAGGGCUGGGCCCCUCGCUCUCCCCCAACCCAUGGACCCUGCCGCUUGUAUAUCAUCCGUCCAGGGCCAACGGACGCCCCCUCCCUCCCCGGGCGGAGCUUCGAGGCCACACUCAAGGGGAGACCAGAGCCGUGUGCCUCAUGCCAACGCCUAGCACGUGGCAAACCUUUUUUUUUACUGCAAACAUAGGCAUCAUGAUUGAUUUUUGUUAAUUCCUUUUAAAUUUAAUUGUUUGUAUUUGAUAGCAUGGUAGGCUGGUUUUAUAUCAGUGAGCCGCCCCGAGUCCCUCUGGGGAGACGGUGGCAGGGUACAAAAAUAAAAUUAUUAUUAUUAUUAUUGAUUCGAGGCACCUGGAAAAAGAAAUACCAGGAAGCAGAUAAAAUUAUUAUUAUUAUUAUUAUUGAUUCGAGGCACCUGGAAAAAAAAAUACCAGGAAGCAGAUAAAAUUAUUAUUAUUAUUAUUAUUAUUGAUUCGAGGCACCUGGAAAAAGAAAUACCAGGAAGCAGAUAAAAUUAUUAUUAUUAUUAUUGAUUACAGGCACCUGGAAAAAGAAAUACCAGGAAGCAGAUAAAAUUAUUAUUAUUGUUAUUGUUGUUGUUAUUAUGUAGGACCCCAUUUUAUUUAUGUAAGGCCACACACCCAGGGGACCACUAUUCCUAAUUAAAGCCUGGUUAAAGGGGAUCCUCUAUUCUUAAAGUUAGGUGUAUAGAGAUCUCCUGUCCAGAAACUAACGCGGCCUGCCCUAUAGAGAUCUGUUAAACCAAGGCGGCCUGCCCUAUAGAGAUCUCCUAUUUCACGUAACACCAGGCAAUAUGGAGAUCCCUGUUUUUUUUAACCGUUAAAUCCCUUACGUGGGGAUAUCCCUGGUUAUUUUAACUGUUAAAUCCCUUACGUGGAGAUAUCCCUGGUUAUUUUAACUGUUAAGUCCCUUACGUGGGGAAAUCCCUGGUUAUUUUAACCGUUAAAUCCCUUACGUGGGGAGAUCCCUGGUUAUUUUAACCUUUAAGUCCCUUACGUGGGGAGAUCCCUGGUUAUUUUAACCUUUAAGGCCAGAUGUGGGGAUUUCCUUGCUUCUUUUAACCCGUAAGGCCAGCCAUGGGGAGAUAUCUUAGGCUGUUUUCACGAAAAGUCAGGUAUAGACGCACUGUUUUCUCUCCCGUUCCAUGUGCCUGGACUCCCGGAGGGCUCCUGCCGGACACCGUCUCCCAUCGGCCGAGAGGGAUCCUUCCUGUCUGGGAAGGAUCUGCAACACAGGUAAAAAGAAGAUUCCGGGAAGGAGAUUCUACAGCGGAGCCCUUAAGCCAGGUGAGACACUCCUUCCAGCCUCCACGGCUGCCUUGCACACACACACACACACACAUGAUACACACGACACACACAUGAUACACACGACACACAUACACAUGUACAGCUGAGGCCCACGGGGACUCUUCCCCAAUAGAUCGAGGACUCCCACUCCGGCGAUUGGCCAUUGUAAAUGCCUUGAAGCAGUUUGGGGCUUCCGGCCAAGUGCUUGCAAAGAGAAUCCAUUCAAGGUUGGACCCCCUUUUAAAGGGCCUGGCACGUGGUAUUUAUUCCCGGCAUGUGGAAAACUCCAUUUGUAAGGCAAACCCUCAUUAAAGGAGGUUUGCAAUUAGUUUAAAACCAGGCUUCUGAGGGACCCGCUGCGUUUAAAGCCAAACCUAGCAGGUGGGAACCCCUUUGGUUAACGUAAGGCGAGGGACCCUCCAUAUUUAAUAAGAUGCCUGGCAGAAUCUUAACCUAAAUGCAGGCCUAUGGGCUACAGCCUAUUCUGCAUAGCCAGGCAUGGGGGGACCCCAGAUUAUUAACUUGAAGCCUAGGAAAAGGAGAUUUUUGUAUUUAUUUAUUUAUUUAUUACAAUAUUUAUAUCCCGCCCUCUCUCCCCUUAAAAGGGGACUCAGAGCGGCUUACAAGUGAUAUUUACAUAUUUAUUUAUUACAAUAUUUAUAUCCCGCCCUCUCCCCUUAAAAGGGGACUCAGAGCGGCUUACAAGUGAUAUUUACAUAUUUAUUUAUUACAAUAUUUAUAUCCCGCCCUCUCCUUAAAAGGGGACUCAGAGCGGCUUACAAGUGAUAUUUACAUAUUUAUUUAUUACAAUAUUUAUAUCCCACCCUCUCCCCUUAAAAGGGGACUCAGAGCGGCUUACAAGUGAUAUUUACAUAUUUAUUUAUUACAAUAUUUAUAUCCCGCCCUUCUCACCCAACAGGGGACUCAGGGCGGCUCAACAAUAAGACGCAUAUAUAAAAAACCAUACAGUGCAAUAUAAAUCAUCACUAACUUACAUCAGUAUUCAUAAAACACAUUAUAAAAUACAGAUAGGUGUGUUCAGUUUAAAUCUAUUCAAGGUAUACGUGGACCCCCUUUUAAUGCCAACCUUUCCACGUGGAAAACGAAACCCUCGUUAAAGGAGGUUUGCAAUUAAUUUAAAACCAGGCUUCUGAGGGACCCGCUGCGUUUAAAGCCAAACCUAGCAGGUGGGAACCCCUUUGGUUAACGCAAGGUGAGGGACCCUCUAUUUUUAAUAGGAUGCCUGGGAGAAUCUUAACCUAAAUGCAGGCCUAUUCUGCAUAGCCAGGCAUGGGGGGACCCCAUAUGAUUAAUUUUAAGCCUGGUAAAAGGAGAUUUUUGUAUUUAUUAAUUUAUUACAUUUAUAUCCCGCCCUCUCUCCCCUUAAAGGGGACUCAGGGCAGCUUACAAGUUAUAUUUACAUAUUUAUUUAUUUAUUACAAUAUUUAUAUCCCGCCCUCUCUCCCCUUAAAGGGGACUCAGGGCAGCUUACAAGUUAUAUUUACAUAUUUAUUUAUUUACAAUAUUUAUAUCCCGCCCUCUCCCCUUAAAGGGGACUCAGGGCAGCUUAAAAAUAAAACGCAUAUAUAAAAACCAUACAGUGCAAUAUAAAUCAUCAUUAACUUACAUCAGUAUUCAUAAAACACAUUAUAAAAUACAGAUAGGUGUGUUCAGUUCAAAUCCAUUCAAGGUAUACGUGGACCCCCUUUUAAUGCCAACCUUUCCACGUGGAAAACUAUUUGUAAGGCAAACCCUCGUUAAAGGAGGUUUGCAAUUAAUUUAAAACCAGGCUUCUGAGGGACCCGCUGCGUUUAAAGCCAAACCUAGCAGGUGGGAACCGCUUUGGUUAACGUAAGGCGAGGGACCCUCCAUAUUUAAUAAGAUGCCUGGCAGAAUCUUAACCUAAAUGCAGGCCUAUGGGCUACAGCCUAUUCUGCAUAGCCAGGCAUGGGGGGACCCCAGAUUAUUAACUUGAGGCCUGGGAAAAGGAGAUUUUUGUAUUUAUUUAUUACAAUAUUUAUAUCCCGCCCUCUCUCCCCUUAAAAGGGGACUCAGAGCAGCUUACGUUAUAUUUACAUAUUUAUUUAUUACAAUAUUUAUAUCCCGACCUCUCCCCUUAAAAGGGGACUCAGAGUGGCUUACAAGUUAUAUUUACAUAUUUAUUACAAUAUUUAUAUCCCGCCCUCUCUCCCCUUAAAAGGGGACUCAGAGCGGCUUACAAGUGAUAUUUACAUAUUUAUUUAUUACAAUAUUUAUAUCCCGCCCUCUCUCCCCUUAAAAGGGAGGGGACUCAGCGGCUUACAAGUGAUAUUUACAUAUUUAUUUAUUACAAUAUUUAUAUCCCUCCCUCUCUCUCCUUAAAAGGGGACUCAGAGUGGCUUACAAGUUAUAUUUACAUAUUUAUUUAUUACAAUAUUUAUAUCCCGCCCUUCUCACCCAACAGGGGACUCAGCGCGGCUUAACAAUAAGACGCAUAUAUAAAAAACCAUACAGUGCAAUAUAAAUCAUCAUUAACUUAAAUCAGUAUUCAUAAAACACAUUAUAAAAUACAGAUAGGUGUGUUCAGUUCAAAUCCAUUCAAGGUAUACGUGGACCCCCUUUUAAUGCCAACCUUUCCACGUGGAAAUCUCCAUUUGUAAGGCAAACCCUCUUUAAAGGAGGUUUGCAAUUUUAAAACCAGGCAGCUGAGGGACCCGCUGCGUUUAAAGCCAAACCUAGCAGGUGGGAACCCCUUUGGUUAACGCAAGGUGAGGGACCCUCUAUUUUUAAUAGGAUGCCUGGGAGAAUCUUAACCUAAAUGCAGGCCUAUGGGGCUACAGCCUAUUCUGCAUAGCCAGGCAUGGGGGGACCCCAUAUGAUGAAUUUGAAGCCUGGUAAAAGGAGAUUUUUGUAUUUAUUAACUUAUUACAUUUAUAUCCCGCCCUCUCUCCCCUUAAAAGGGGACUCAGAGCGGCUUACGAGUUAUAUUUACAUAUUUAUUUAUUUAUUACAAUAUUUAUAUCCCGCUGUCUUUCCCCUUAAAGGGGACUCAGAGCAGCUUACAAGUUAUAUUUACAUAUUUAUUUAUUUAUUACAAUAUUUAUAUCCCGCCCUCUCUCCCCUUAAAGGGGACUCAGGGCAGCUUAACAAUAAAACGCAUAUAUAAAAACCAUACAGUGCAAUAUAAAUCAUCAUUAACUUACAUCAGUAUUCAUAAAACACAUCAUAAAAUACAGAUAGGUGUAUUACAUACACUGUAUCAUUAGCAUCGCACAAUAUUAGCAUUAUAUAUUACUACAUUGCAUUAUACCACUAUACAGAAACAUUAUUAGCACUAUUACAUUUAAUAUAUAAUAUGUAAUUCAUAUUAUUAUAUUGUAUCAUUGUUAGUAUUGCAUUAUUUAUUUAUUUGCUAGAUGUAUAUGCUGCCCUUCUCAACCCCAAGGUGAACGGCCUACAAAUUAAAUUUACAUACAAUAUUAUAUUAUUACCAUAGUACAAUACUGGCAGUAAAUUACUAUAUUGUACUAUAUGAAUAUAUGGUAAUAUUAUUAGUAUUACAUGCAAAAUGUAAUACAUAAUUAAUAUUAUAUUUAAUUAUUAGUAUAUCGUUUUACAAUAUAAUAUGAACAUUAUAUGUAUAUGCAAUAUGUUAUAAUUAUAUAUUAAAAUUUAUAUAUAUAUACAUAUAUAUGUAUGUAUGUAUAUAUGUAUGUGUAUAUAUAUAUAUAUAUAUACACACACACACACACACACAUAUAUUUAUAUACACACAGUAGAGUCAUCCAACAUAAAUGGGCCAGCGAAUAUUUAUUUAUUUAUUUACAGCAUUUUACCGGGCUGGCCUCGAACUCAUGACCUCCUGGUCAGAGUGAUUUGUUGAUAUUCAUUAUUCAUUUAUAGCAUUUAUAUUCCGCCCUUCCUUCUCACCCCGAAGGGGACUCAGGGCGGAUCACAUGACACAUAUAGGCAAACAUUCAAUGCCUUUUAACAUAGAACAAAGACAAACAGGCUCCGAGCGGGCCUCGAACCGUGACCUCCUGGUCAGAGUGAUUCAUUGCAGUUAAUUGCAGCUGGCUUGCUUUCCAGCCUGCGCUGUUGGAUAAUAAGGAGGCAUUAUGGAAAAGCCUAUUAAACAUCAAAUUAAUUGAUGAUUUUACAAAUUGAGCACCAAAACAUCAUUUGACAGAAAAAGUAGUUCAAUAUGCAGUAAUGCUAUGUAGUAAUUACUGUAUUUACGGAUUUAGCACCAAAAUAUCACGACGCAUUGAAAACAUGGACUACAAAAAUGCGUUGAAUAAUCCAGAAUGUUGGAUAAGAGAGUGUUGGAUGAGACUACUGUAUAUACAAUAUAAAUUAGAAUAGCAUGUUAUUGGGGGAGGAGCAUCUUGGUUAUUAGAUGUUUUUAUUAGUUAUUGAUACUAGUAUAGAUAUGACAUUGAGUAUAUAUUAUCCUAGCACAAUGUUAAUAUUAGUUAUUCAUAUUAGUCUCAAUAUGACAUUAAUAGAGUACAUUAUUAUCCUAGCACAAUGUUAUUAGAUGUUAAUAUUAGUUAUUGAUAUUAGUCUCCAUAUGACAUUAAUAGAGUAUAUUAUUAUUCUAGCACAAUGUUAUUACAUAGGACCAUGUUGUUGCUAGGGGGAGGGCCCCCCCACUGAUUGUAUUAUUAGUAUUAUGUUGUUGCUAGGGAGAGGGCCCCCCAACUGAGAUCCCCUGUCAUUAAUGUGUCAGACCAGGCAUUUCACUCCUACCUUUGCAUCAGAAAGCAGGCUCCCUGUGCGCUAGGCCUUCCUUUGAGGAACACAUUCACAGCUCCGCUUGAGUGUGGCAUUGAGGCCCCACUCAGGGAUGGGCGGGUCCUCCCUUUGCCCUGGGCAGAUCGUGGGGGGUGGGCGGAUCUCCAUAGACGGGCAGGGGGUCGCGGCUGGCGGGACAGCGGGAUAUAAAAAUAUAAAUAUAUAAAUAAAAACCCUUGCAUCCAAGGAAACAACUCUGGGGACCCGAGCGGCUGCUCCCAGCUCACGUCACGGGCAUUUUAAACAUCUCGUAGCAGCUCAGAUUAAUACCUGAACUAACCUUAACCUGCUAACCCUACUAACCCAUUUCUAACUAGAGCAGGAAUUUUAAAUAGGGCUUAUUUUGCCUGUUGGCAAGAACCAAGCUGGGAGGGGGCCUCCGGGCCUCGGGUGGGAAGAACCCUAACCCUGUCCCUGCCCUGCGCUGGGAGCGCCCCCCCCUCGGGACCCCAGUGUUUGGUCCCCGCUCUCCCCCAAUCCGACGGCCUAGAAAGCCCCUCCGCCAUCCGCCCAGGGCCAACGGACAGCCCUCCCUCCCCGGCAGCUGCGUUCCUCAUGCAACAGGGAGCCUGGUUCUGGAUGCAAACGUGGGACCCCCUUAGGACCCCCUUUUCUCUGUGCAGGGACCCCCGCUCCCCAUAAAUAAAUGCCUGGUGGAAGGGGAUCCUAGUAGAAAAAGCCACAGUUCCCAAGAGCCCCCAAAAGCGAGAUGCUCCCUUGGUUCAGCCCUUCUGACCCUUGUUUUCUCCCUUGUUCUAUGUCUCCGGAAUCGCCGAGGGAGGGAGGGGCUCCUCCUGGACAAGAGCCAAGGACGGACAGAUGGACGGACGGACGGAAGGAGAUCCCAGAGAGCAGGACGCCUUGCCGUUCUGGCUGCUGAGCUCGACCCCUUUCCAACAAUGAAUAAAACUCUUCCCAAAAAAAGGUGUUUUCUGGUUAUUAUUCAAACGUUUAAUUUUUGACAGCCUUAAACAUCUUGAUUACAAUACAGUUUGUGCUGCUGCCUUUUAUAAACCUUGUUUUCUACAAAUAAAGUCAAGAGAAACACUAUAAGUUUUGCACUGUGCUCAAACUCAUUGUUCUGAUAUUCUGUUAUAUGGUUUUAUUAUUUAUAUCGUUUUUAAUGUAUGACUAUUACAUGUGACAUGGGAGCGGGGUAUAAAAAUAAAGUAUUAUUAUUAAUAAACACCACAAUUUUCUUGCACCCCAAGUACAUCUGGCCAUUGCCAAAGAGUAUUUAACUCUGCCUACAUGGCACUAAAGUGUAUUUAUAUGUUGAUUGUUUCUAUUGAUUUUAUGUAAUGUUUGCUUUAUUUGCAUUGAAUUUUUGUCUGGAUGUAUCUUGUAUGCCGCUCAUCUCCAUAAAUGAGCGGGAUAGAAAUGAGGUUAAUAAUUUUAGGAAUGUUUUAAUGUAACUUGAAUUUUAAAUUGAGUUGAAAUGUGAUUGUAAUUGUUUAUAAGUGUUAUCUAUUUGUAAGCCACCCUGAGUCUCCUCUUAUUGAGUGAAAAGGUCUGGGAAGAAAUACUGUCAUAAAUAAAUAAAAUAUUCUGUGUCCAGGUUGCUUCAUGGGUUGACUUCUCUGGCAGGAUUAAUCUGCAGGGCCAUUCCUGUGGGAAAGUUUACACAGGGACUAACAAGCAUGGAGCAGGGAAGGCACUGCAGACACUCCUGCGCAUGCGCGGCCUGCUCCCUAGUAGAAACUUGGCCCCGCCCACUACAGGCACCCCUUUCCCUUCUGCGGCUGCGCGGCCUGUUCCAUAUUUGGGGGAACUUGGCCCCCGCCCACUGCAGGCAUUCCCUUCACUUCUGCGUCUGCGCGGCUUCCGUCACAGGGCGGCAAGAUGGUUUCCCGGCCCGCAGUGGCCCAUGUACAUGCUGGACUACGGCGGCCUCAAUGUUCCGCUUCCGGGAGCCAUGAAUUAUUCGGACCUCAGUUUCUGAACCAGAACCUCCGAACAAAACAAAACAAAAGAAAUAAUGAACGGUGUGUAAUUUUCGUUUGUACAAAGUGUAUAUUAUUCCAAUAUGUAUUGAUGCCUUUCAGUGUUUCCAAUGAUUUUUACACUAUAUUCCUGCCGCCAGGGCCUUUUUAAAUAAAAAAAGAAUAAGAAGGGUUGCCUUGCUCUGAAAAAUCAAA